rnacentral:misc_RNA from 1 species
AAGUCGUAACAAGGUUUCCGUAGGUGAACCUGCGGAAGGAUCAUUAACGAAUUUGCGGCUGAAAAGUCACUGAUUCCACACUGUGUUUUAAGUGUUUUUUUCGGUAAAAGAAGAGAACACGAAAACUGUUCAUAUCACACAUAUGACAAAAUAAAAAAAACAAAAAAUCAAAACUUUCAACAACGGAUCUCUUGGUUCUG